rnacentral:lncRNA from 1 species
AGAAGAUGUAAUCAUCUCAUGCAUUUUAUUGCUGUUGUAUUCUCAUGUGAUCACUCAAAAUGGAAUGUAGUUCACUUGAGGACUUCAUAUAAUUUCUUCCAAAUUUAUUCAAUUUGUCUUUGCUCUGGAAUACACAUUGCCAUGACUGAUAUUCUUAAAUCUUUAUCUCAUUUUAUUCCCAAUCCAUCUCCAGUUUAUUUUCUCAAUCUCCUCAUAAAAUGAAGCCAAAACAAAGCAACAAACUAAAUAAGGAAAUUUCCUGCAAGUGUUUGGUUGUAGUUGCUGCAAUAAAUGAGUUUUUUUGCUACUAAGUGUAAGGCUAUCUCUAACAGAAGAGCUAUAAUCAUCUCUGCGAUGGAGCUGCUAUAAUUUUAGCUGUUCUUGCUUUGCUUUAUUGAGAACCAGAGCAGGGUAUACAAGAUUUUAUUUCUAAUAUUAGCUAGCAUAUUAAAAUGAUCCGUAGAGUUCCAUAACAUGUUCUAUGAACAAAUUACAUUCUGUCCAAAUAUAAGCAGGUCACACUGAGUCAAUAUUUUAGAGUGUAAGAGCUGGAAGAGCACUUAUAGCACAUUAGGUUCAAGGUGUUUGUUUCAAUGUCAGGAAAGUGGAAGUCAGAGAUACACAAGCUGUGACUUGCUCAAGGGCUCUUCACAAUGUAGCAAGUCCGAGGAAUCAACCUUGCUUGCCUGACUCUCAGUCUAGAAGGUUUGUUAACAUAUGGCUGCCUUUACUAGAAUGCAGGUAUAUAGAUGUGCAUACAUUCAUGUCCUAGAAUACAGAUAAAUAUUCUUUAUGGUUCUUUAGGCUUGUAUACUAUUAUGGUAAAUCAAAGCAAGUGGAUAAAACAAAGAAGAGGGAAGCAUGGAAUUU